rnacentral:rRNA from 1 species
AUUGAACGCUGGCGGCAUGCCUUACACAUGCAAGUCGAACGGCAGCAUGGGUGCUUGCACCUGAUGGCGAGUGGCGAACGGGUGAGUAAUGCAUCGGAACGUACCCGGAAGUGGGGGAUAACGUAGCGAAAGUUACGCUAAUACCGCAUAUUCUGUGAGCAGGAAAGAGGGGGAUCGCAAGACCUCUCGCUUUCGGAGCGGCCGAUGUCGGAUUAGCUAGUUGGCGGGGUAAAGGCCCACCAAGGCAACGAUCCGUAGCGGGUCUGAGAGGAUGAUCCGCCACACUGGGACUGAGACACGGCCCAGACUCCUACGGAGGCAGCAGUGGGGAAUUUUGGGACAAUGGGGGCAACCCUGAUCCAGCCAUGCCGCGUGAGUGAAGAAGGCC